ensembl:rRNA 5S_rRNA 5S ribosomal RNA
CAGCCAUAUCACCCUGCUGCCCAAGAGUGGUUGCCCACUGAAGCUAAGCAGGGUUGAGCUGGUCAGUACCUGGAUGGGAGACCUCCUGGGAAAACUAGCUAUUGGAAGAG